UUAAAUUUGGUAUUGAUUCUACCGGUGGCAACGGCAAAUGUUGAGAGAGCAUUUUCUGCCAUGAGUAUAGUCAAGAGCAAGUUGAGAAAUAAGAUGGGUGAUAGUCUUUUGGAUGAUUGCCUAGUUACAUACAUUGAGAGGGAUGCUUUCUCCGAGGUGAAUGAAGAUGACAUAAUUGAUACCUUCAUGGCAAUGCAAAAGCAUAGGCCAGAAACAUAG
rnacentral:rRNA from 1 species